GACGAACGCUGGCGGCGUGCCUAAUACAUGCAAGUAGAACGCACAGUUUAUACCGUAGCUUGCUACACCAUAGACUGUGAGUUGCGAACGGGUGAGUAACGCGUAGGUAACCUGCCUGGUAGCGGGGGAUAACUAUUGGAAACGAUAGCUAAUACCGCAUAAUAUUGAUUAUUGCAUGAUAAUUGAUUGAAAGAUGCUAUUGCAUCACUACCAGAUGGACCUGCGUUGUAUUAGCUAGUAGGUGAGGUAACGGCUCACCUAGGCGACGAUACAUAGCCGACCUGAGAGGGUGAUCGGCCACACUGGGACUGAGACACGGCCCAGACUCCUACGGGAGGCAGCAGUAGGGAAUCUUCGGCAAUGGACGAAAGUCUGACCGAGCAACGCCGCGGGAGUGAAGAAGGUUUUCGGAUCGUAAAGCUCUGUUGUAAGAGAAGAACGGGUGUGAGAGUGGAAAGUUCACACUGUGACGGUAUCUUACCGGAAAGGGACGGCUAACUACGUG
rnacentral:rRNA from 1 species